AAACCGUUGAAAGGGAAGCGAAYGGAGUUAGCAAUUCGCCCUGCCAGAUUCAGCUGCUCGUGCUUCGCGACGUGCGCGCUCUCGAUCCGCAUGGACGAGACGUGUGUGGGUGCGAUGUGCAAACGGCGCACUUCUGGCGAGCGAGCGUCAGCGUCGGUUGUCGACGGGGGACAAGGACACAGGGAAGGUGGAUCAGCCAACUUGGCCGAUUGUUAAGCCUUGUGAUCACAUAGCCCGACGGCGACCGUGGCUCUGCGACGCGUGCCUGGCUGGCGACUCGAACGGAUCGGUCCGGCAUGUCGACUGGGCGGACGAGACUUCUCUGUGCGCUCAAACUGCUGCCGGUCGAACGGACGAUGUUCGCACACUACGCGUCGAGGAUGCUGACGACCAUACGGCUCCAUCCGACCCGUCUUGAAACACGGACCAAGGAGUCUAACAUGUGCGCGAGUCUCCGGGUGAUCGAAACCCGUGGGCGCAAUGAAAGUAAAGAUCGUCCUAGACGAUUGAGGUGAGAAGCAAAUCCACGGAUUUGCGGCAUCAUCGACCGACCUAUUCUGCUCUCAGAAAGGUUUGAGUAAGAGCGUACCUGUUGGGACCCGAAAGAUGGUGAACUAUGCCUGAAUAGGGUGAAGCCAGCGG
rnacentral:rRNA from 1 species